rnacentral:rRNA from 1 species
GAUGAACGCUGGCGGCGUGCCUAACACAUGCAAGUCGAACGGAAUCCAGCCUUUAAGACCUUCGGGUCAAAGAGGGGAAGACUGAGUGGCGGACGUGCGAGUAACACGUGGGCUACCUGGCUCAUAGAGGGGGAUAACAGAGAGUAAUAUCUGCUAAUACCUCAUAAGCACACCCUGCCGCAUGGCAGAGGGUGAAAAGAGAAUCGCGCUGAGAUGGACCCGCGUCUGAUUAGCCAGUUGGCAGGGUAAGAGCCUACCAAAGCGACGAUCAGUAGCCGAUCAGAGAGGAUGAGCGGCCACAUUGGGACUGAGACACGGCCCAAACUCCUACGGGAAGCAGCAGUGGGGGAUAUUGCACAAUGGGGGGAACCCUGAUGCAGCGACGCCGCGUGAGUGAAGAAGUAUUUCGGUAUGUAAAGCUCUAUCAGCAGGGAAGAUAAUGACAGUACCUGAAUAAGAAGCCCCGGCUAACUACGUG